rnacentral:rRNA from 1 species
AGUGAACGCUGGCGGUAGGCCUAACACAUGCCAGUCGAACGGCAGCACAGUAAGAGCUUGCUCUUACGGGUGGCGAGUGGCGGACGGGUGAGGAAUACAUCGGAAUCUACUUUUUCGUGGGGGAUAACGUAGGGAAACUUACGCUAAUACCGCAUACGACCUACGGGUGAAAGAAGGGGAUCUUCGGACCUUGCGCGAUUGAAUGAGCCGAUGUCGGAUUAGCUAGUUGGCGGGGUAAAGGCCCACCAAGGCGACGAUCCGUAGCUGGUCUGAGAGGAUGAUCAGCCACACUGGGACUGAGACACGGUCCAGACUCCUACGGGAGGCAGCAGUGGGGAAUUUUGGACAAUGGGCGCAAGCCUGAUCCAGCCAUGCCGCGUGGGUGAAGAAGGCCUUCGGGUUGUAAAGCACUUUUGUUCGGAAAGAAAACCAGCGGGUUAAUACGGCGCGGGUACGACGGUACCGAAAGAAUAAGCACCGGCUAACUACGUG